rnacentral:rRNA from 1 species
AACGAACGCUGGCGGCAGGCCUAACACAUGCAAGUCGAACGAUAAGCCACCUUCGGGUGGUGGACAGUGGCAGACGGGUGAGUAACGCGUGGGAACGUGCCUUUCGGUUCGGAAUAACCCAGGGAAACUUGGGCUAAUACCGGAUACGCCCUUCGGGGAAGAUUCAUUGCCGAAAGAUCGGCCCGCGUCGGAUUAGCUAGUUGGUGGGUAAUGGCUCACCAAGGCGACGAUCCGUAG